CAAAUUAAAGCUUUAUAAUAAGCCUUUUAUUUACAUUAAAAAGACAACUGUGGAAUUCAGUUUAAUUUGA
rnacentral:tRNA from 1 species